AGAAGGAGGAGCCUGCCUGGCUGGCUGGCUGCUCCCUUCAGCUCCAGGGUGGAAGUGGAGGGGGCCAAUUCUCGAAGGUUCCACAGGAAGUGCAGGCUGGACCUGGAAGGCAUCCAUGGCCCAUGAAUAUCAGUCGUCCUAGAGAAAGACAAGGG